rnacentral:lncRNA from 1 species
CUCAUUUCUUCGGACCCUUCAAUAUUUCUUCGAAAAUGUCAAAUCAAAUCCAACGGCCGAACAGAUCCAUGCCACCGUCAACAACUUCGCCGACGACAUCUACAGCAUCGCCGGGGAAGUAUCGCCAGAAGAGGGGAGGGGAAUCUUUGAUUUUUCGUUUCUUCGAACCCCAAAUCAAAUUAAAAAAUUAAAUCCAAAUUGUAGAAUCGAACGGAAAUUUCUUCGGAUCCGAAUCAAAUUGCAAAAUCAAAAGAGGAUUGCCUCGAACACGAAAUAGAAUUAAAAAGAAAAUCAAGUUCACAUACGAAUCCAAAUCCGAGUCACGUUCGCCUACAAACCUAUAUCAAAUCAAACCCAAACCUAACCCAAACCAAGUCCACAUAAGAACCCAAACCAAAUCUACAAAUAAACCCAAACCAAUCCAAACCAAGUCCACAAAAUAAACCCACAAAUAAACCCAAACCCAAAACCCAAAUAAACCUAAACCCAAAACCCAAAUAAACCCAAACUUGAACCCAAAUAAAUCCAAACCUAAACCAAGUCCACACAUAAAACCAAAACCCAAACCCAAAUCAAAUUCAAACCCAACCUGAACCAAAACCAAAUCUCAUGGACCAAAUUCCAUGAACCAAAGCCAAACCUCAUAGACCAAAUCCCAUGAACCAAAACCAAACCUCAUGGACCAAAUCCCAUGAACCAUAACCAAAUCUCAUGGACCAAAUCCCAUGAACCAAAACCAAAUUCAUGGACCAAAUCCUAUGAACCAUAACCAAACCUCAUGGACCAAAUCCCAUGAGCCACAACUAAACCUCAUGGACCAUAUCCCAUGAACCAAAAUCAAACCUCAUGGACCAAAUCUCAUGAACCAAAACCAAAUCUCAUGGACCAAAUCCCAUGAACCAAAACUAAACCUCAUGGACCAAAUCCCAUGAGCCACAACCAAACCUCAUGGACCAAAUCCCAUGAACCACAACUAAACCUCAU